rnacentral:rRNA from 1 species
CCUACGGGAGGCAGCAGUGAGGAAUAUUGGUCAAUGGACGGAAGGCUGACCCAGCCAUGCCGCGUGAAGGUCAGUGCCCUUUGGGCGUUAAACUUCUUUUGUGCGGGAGCAAUCAUGGUCACGUGUGGCCAGACGAGAGUACCGUACGACUAAGCAUCGGCUAACUCCGUGCAAGCAGCCGCGGCAAUACGGUGGAUGAAAGCGUUAUCCGGAUUUAUUGGGUUUAAAGGGUGCGUAGGCUGGGAGGUAAGUCAGCGGGGAAAUGCCCCCGCUCAACGGGGUGAAGUGCAAUUGAUACUGCCUUGCUGGAGUGCGGAUGCGGUGGGAGGAAUGUGUGGUGUAGCGGUGAAAUGCAUAGAUAUCACACAGAACACCGAUUGCGAAGGCAUCUCACGGAUCCGCGAUUGACGCUGAUGCACGAAAGCGUGGGGAUCAAACAGGAUUAGAUACCCCGGUAGUC